UGGAUUCGACCUGGGAGUUUGAUCCUGGCUCAGAACGAACGCUGGCGGCGCGCCUAAUACAUGCAAGUCGAACGAGAAUGUGUAGCAAUACACAUGUACAGUGGCGAACGGGUGAGGAUUACAUGGGUAACCUACCCUCGAGUGGGGAAUAACCAGCCGAAAGGUUGGCUAAUACCGCGUACGCUUCCGGAACUGCGGUUUCGGAAGGAAAGCGAUACCGUGGGUAUCGCGCUCUUGGAUGGGCUCAUGCCCUAUCAGCUUGUUGGUGAGGUAACGGCUCACCAAGGCUUCGACGGGUAGCUGAUCUGAGAGGAUGAUCAGCCACACUGGCACUGCGACACGGGCCAGACUCCUACGGGAGGCAGCAGUAAGGAAUAUUGCGCAAUGGGCGAAAGCCUGACGCAGCGACGCCGCGUGGGGGAUGAAGGUCUUCGGAUUGUAAACCCCUUUCGGGAGGGAAGAUGGGAUGGGGUAACCCAUUCGGACGGUACCUCCAGAAGCAGCCACGGCUAACUUCGUGCCAGCAGCCGCGGUAAUACGAAGGUGGCAAGCGUUGUUCGGAUUUACUGGGCGUACAGGGAGCGUAGGCGGUUGGAUAAGCCCUCCGUGAAAUCUCCAGGCUUAACCUGGAAAGUGCAGAGGGGACUGUUCAGCUAGAGGAUGGGAGAGGAGCGCGGAAUUCCCGGUGUAGCGGUGAAAUGCGUAGAGAUCGGGAGGAAGGCCGGUGGCGAAGGCGGCGCUCUGGAACAUUUCUGACGCUGAGGCUCGAAAGCGUGGGGAGCAAACAGGAUUAGAUACCCUGGUAGUCCACGCCUUAAACGAUGGAUACUAAGUGUCGGCGGGUUACCGCCGGUGCCGCAGCUAACGCAGUAAGUAUCCCCCCUGGGAAGUACGGCCGCAAGGUUGAAACUCAAAUGAACUGAC
rnacentral:rRNA from 1 species